rnacentral:rRNA from 1 species
CUUAACUCUGGCGGCGUGCCUAAUACAUGCAAGUCGAGCGAACAGACGAGGAGCUUGCUCCUCUGACGUUAGCGGCGGACGGGUGAGUAACACGUGGAUAACCUACCUAUAAGACUGGGAUAACUUCGGGAAACCGGAGCUAAUACCGGAUAAUAUAUUGAACCGCAUGGUUCAAUAGUGAAAGACGGUUUUGCUGUCACUUAUAGAUGGAUCCGCGCCGCAUUAGCUAGUUGGUAAGGUAACGGCUUACCAAGGCAACGAUGCGUAGCCGACCUGAGAGGGUGAUCGGCCACACUGGAACUGAGACACGGUCCAGACUCCUACGGGAGGCAGCAGUAGGGAAUCUUCCGCAAUGGGCGAAAGCCUGACGGAGCAACGCCGCGUGAGUGAUGAAGGUCUUCGGAUCGUAAAACUCUGUUAUUAGGGAAGAACAAAUGUGUAAGUAACUAUGCACGUCUUGACGGUACCUAAUCAGAAAGCCACGGCUAACUACGUG